rnacentral:tRNA from 1 species
GGUUGUGGCUCAGCGGUAGAGCGUGUGCUUAGCACGUGCAAGGCCCUGGGUUCGAUCCUCAGCACCA